UUCCAAACGAUGAAAAAGAAUAGUAAACAAAUACUUGUUUCAAAGAGAUCUGCUGGUUGGUGUAAAGUAGAAAACAAUUUUGUUGAACGUGCUUCGGAGUUUAAUUAUCAAAUUAUAGAGAUAAUUACGUAUACCUGCGUUAAAGGUUCGAGAUGCUUAGCUUAUUUAUGUGCUAAGAAUUAAGGUGGUACCGCGAUUAUAAUAAUCGUCCUUUGU
rnacentral:ncRNA from 1 species